rnacentral:miRNA from 11 species
CAAUGGGAGCUGGAGUUCCCGCG